UUGCUUUAAUAGGGCUUGGUUUCCUUGCAGUGCUCAUAUAGAUACUUGCCUAUUGACAACUUCAACUUGAAAUGCUUGUCAAGUAGGCUGUACCUAAAUAUUUCAAAUUUUCUAUUGCACUAACCUUGUUUGUGCUGAAAUUUAGAUGGAUGAAUUUAUUUACUUUCUAAACAGUAAUAAAAACAUUGAUAUACUUGGAGAAAUAUAUAUAUUCAAGUGCUUAAUGAUCCAUUUUAACUGAUCUUUUGUUUUUAAAAAUCACAGGGUGUCCUCGAUAUCAAAGUAAAGAUCAUGUUGGAUUAGGAUCUUAAAGUAAAGCAGGGCCCCAUGACUCCUUUGCUAGAUCAUGUUACAAUUCAUGCCCCAAAGGAGGAAGAGGAGUUAAUCCAACCUCCUGUUCUGCCUCUAGAGAUUUAAUUUGAAUUCUACAACCUUUCAAAAGGAAUUAGGAUUACAUUUCUUCUUGAUAAGCUUGCGGCAGGUAACAAGCUAAAGUUCUUCUGAUUUAUGUGCUUGUACUAGUCCUAGAUUAACACGAAGGAAGAUUGGGAGUCUUUAGGCCCAUAUCUUAGUUUGUUCCAAUCUUCUCAGGAGCGUUAUUUGUUCUUAUCAUUUGUUUUGGUACCCAACAUGGUUACCCCUUAUUUCGAUAAUUUUUACUGUUUUGUAGAUUUGAUAUUAGUUAUUUGAAUUCGUUUGUAACUUCCAAAGCUAGAAUAGUAGACUCAGAUUGAUUGUCUAAAUUCAUUCAAAAUUCUGAAUAUUAGUUAAUAGAUGCAAUUUGAUCAUUUUUUCGUGUGCUAAGAUGAAUGGUAUGUUCUUCUAUCUCAGUUGUCUUGUAUUUCUUAACGGUGGCUUAUUAGUUGUUGAUACUCUGAGUUCUUAUUCAUCUAAUGAAUUUAACAUGAUGCAGGCGUUCUUCUCGCUAUUGAAAUCCGACCAUAUCAUAUCAACAAGACUUCUGGAGAGAUUGCAUUUCCUUCCAUGAUGUGUGUGUUUAAUAUUUUGCAUAUCAGUUGCCAAUUCAGAAUCCUUUUGCCAUUGCCAAAUGCUUCAAACCAUGUAAUUCUUUAUCGAUUCAGUGAUAAUUUAAGUGAUGGUUCUGAUUAAAGGUUUUCUUUAGUAUCAGUG
rnacentral:lncRNA from 1 species